AUGAAACACUCCUACGGGAGGCAGCAGUGAGGAAUAUUGGUCAAUGGACGUAAGUCUGAACCAGCCAAGUAGCGUGCAGGAUGACGGCCCUAUGGGUUGUAAACUGCUUUUGUAUGGGGAUAAAGUUGGGGACGUGUCUCUAUUUGCAGGUACCAUACGAAUAAGGACCGGCUAAUUCCGUGCCAGCAGCCGCGGUAAUACGGAAGGUCCAGGCGUUAUCCGGAUUUAUUGGGUUUAAAGGGAGCGUAGGCUGGAUAUUAAGUGUGUUGUGAAAUGUAGACGCUUAACGUCUGACUUGCAGCGCAUACUGGUUUCCUUGAGUACGCACAACGUUGGCGGAAUUCGUCGUGUAGCGGUGAAAUGCUUAGAUAUGACGAAGAACUCCGAUUGCGAAGGCAGCUGACGGGAGCGCAACUGACGCUUAAGCUCGAAGGUGCGGGUAUCAAACAGGAUUAGAUACCCGAGUAGUCCGAAGUUC
rnacentral:rRNA from 1 species